UACGGAGGGUGCAAGCGUUAUCCGGAUUCACUGGGUUUAAAGGGUGCGUAGGUGGGUUGGUAAGUCAGUGGUGAAAUCUCCGAGCUUAACUUGGAACUGCCGUUGAUACUAUCAAUCUUGAAUAUCGCGUAGGUAAGCGGAAUAUGUCAUGUAGCGGUGAAAUGCUUAGAUAUGACAUAGAACACCCAUUGCGAAGGCAGCUCGCUACACUAUCAUUGACACUGAGGCACGAAAGCGUGGGGAUCAAACAGG
rnacentral:rRNA from 1 species